CCCGAAAGGAAACCUGGGAUUAUAAAUGGAGUUUAAUUUGUACUUUCAGAAUUUCUUUAUCACUGUGUUAUUUGUAGAAUAAAUACACAAAAUUGGGGAAAGAGUCCUUGAGCAGAAUUGAAGCUCACUGUGAGAGUAAGACCAGGGCCACAGGCUUGUCCAGUACGUGUCACUAGGCCUGUAUUGAUUCCACAGUACCAAUCAUGUGCUUCUCCUGAUGGCACGCAGCUGGCCACACAGGCCAAGAGUGAGCCACUGCAUUCCCACCUUCAAAAUAACAAACUAGCAAAAUAACAAAGGCCCACGGCUGGACAUCAGUGCACAGCCACAGCAGUCAGUGUAAGCGGCAAGGCACUUAGCGCCAUGACUGCCACGUUAUUAUGAGAGGAACGCAAAUUAUUUACUAAGUCGGGGAGUCAAAAUAGAGUGCUCAUGCCCCACGCUUUAACAGUGAACUAGAAGAGACCCCAGUAAGACUUUUGUUCCCCAGUAUUUCCAUGUAUCUCCCAGCCCCUUGCCUCUCACUAGCUGGGAAGCUAAGCAGAGCAUUCCUGAUUGCUCAGCAGAUGGAACAUGAGUUCAUUGCUUGUUUUCUGAGCUCUGCCAAUGGGGAGGCCCCCCCUCAAUCUCUGCUGGUUAUUGAGUGUUUGCUAGCCCUCAGUCCAGUCCUGGGAGCCUGGGAACUCCUUGUUCUAGCAAGUAACUGUCUCCUUCAAUCAUUUAAAAAAAAAUUGUGACUUUAUUUAUGUGUGUAUUUGAGUGUGUUGAGUGCAUGUACACAAGCAUUCGGUGCUCUCAGAGGCCAGAAAAGGGCAUCAGAUCCCCAAGAUUUGGAGUUACUGGUAGUUGUAAGCCACCGUAUGAGUGUUGGGAACUGAAUUCAGGCACUCUACAAGAGCAGGAAGUUGUCCUAACCCCUGGGCUAACUCUCCAGUCCUGCCAUCAGUCACAUAUAACAUCAAUUGGGCCAAUAAAAGCGCCACAGCAGAAUACAUUUCUUCUAGAAGUUUCUAUACAGACAAUUUAUAAUUCUUGUGGGGCCAUUACAUACAGAGGAGCAGUGUUUAGAGCUUGUUGUGAAAUGAUGGAAAGAAAGAAACAGUAGAGGUCACCUAUGUAUUUCUCAGGUAGGUGACUCCUUAUCUUGUCCUCAGAGAAGAUCUGACGUCCGUUCCUGAGGACCAUUCCGCGGCUCUCCAUUGCCUUUCUGAAGACACUGAGACAUAAAUGCAGGGAAAGUGUUACUCGUCUGAAAUCACAGAGGGCGAUUUUACAAAUCAAAACAUUAACUUCACAAAGAACAUGGCUCCAACGCCUGCUGUGAUCAUCAAGCUCCUCUCCAGAGUCCCCCUUCGGAGGACUUUCUAAGAACUGUGCUGGCUACUUCCGGGUACCUUCUCCAUCUCAAGAUCUUUACCUUCAUCACAUCAGCAAAGCCUCCGUUUGCCGCAGAAGGCCUUACAAGAAAAUUAGAAAUUGCAAGAAACAAAUAAGUCUGACCAAAAUGCUAACCAGUUGCAUGGAUAAAAGUUAUGGUGAGUCAAAUAUAUAUAUAAAAUCAGAGAAAAGGCAUGAAAACAACGAGAAGGAAACUGGAAGGACAUCCCAAAAUAAGCCUGAUUUCUUCCUGGAUGGUGGAAAGUUCGAAAAAUGAAACAGAAAGAAAAAUUCAGAGGUAAAUUUAUAAAAAGUCCCAAAGCUACUGCAAGCGAUGACCUCUUCACGGCCAGAGAAAUAAGAAGCCAAGAGUCUACCAACUAGACAUGUGUGGAAGUUCACUUUAGUUCCCUGAACUGUCUGCACUCCAAACACAGCUGAAUCUGAAUCUGAGCGUCUAGUUUCCCAGAUAAUGCCAAGACACCUGCUUCAAACUGCAAAAUCACAUGAUUUUGAAUGAGCCUAAUACAAACCACAUUUAAAGAUGCUUGAUUCUUAGCUAGAGAAAUGGCUCUGUGACUAAGAGCACGCACUGCUCUUCCAGAGGACCAGGGUUCGAUUCCCAGCACCAACAUGCUAGCUCACAGCAGCCAGGGGUUCUAGUUCCAGGAGAUUUGACACCCUCUUCUGACCGCCACAGCUUCAAGAGCAGGAGGUAUACUUACACAUAUGCCC